GGCGAGAUGGCCGAGCGGUCUAAGGCGCUGUGUUAAGGCUCAUGAUCUCGGAGUUCCGAGUUCGGUGUCCCCCCGCAGUCUUCGGACGUGGGUUCGAAUCCCACUCUCGUCA
rnacentral:tRNA from 1 species